ACGUAGGGUGCGAGCGUUAAUCGGAAUUACUGGGCGUAAAGCGUGCGCAGGCGGUUUUUUAAGCCAGAUGUGAAAUCCCCGGGCUCAACCUGGGAACUGCAUUUGGAACUGGAAGACUAGAGUGUAGCAGAGGGGGGUAGAAUUCCACGUGUAGCAGUGAAAUGCGUAGAGAUGUGGAGGAAUACCGAUGGCGAAGGCAGCCCCCUGGGCUAACACUGACGCUCAUGCACGAAAGCGUGGGGAGCAAACAGGAUUAGAUACCCUGGUAGUCCACGCCCUAAACGAUGUCAACUAGGUGUUGGGGAAGGAGACUUCUUUAGUACCGCAGCUAACGCGUGAAGUUGACCGCCUGGGGAGUACGGUCGCAAGAUUA
rnacentral:rRNA from 1 species